rnacentral:rRNA from 1 species
GUCGUCAAGACCAAACACGUCGAAACUCUAGUAGACGACUUGAGGGUGACAUUAGACAACCUCCGAGCAUAUGACAUUAAGCUCAACCCGGAAAAAUGUGUUUUCGGCAUACCAGCCGGAAAGCUCUUGGGCUUCAUUGUAUCCGGUAGAGGAAUUGAAGCAAACCCAGCCAAGAUCCAAGCUCUGUCACAAUUGGAUAUCCCAAAAGACCUCAAGCAAAUACAAAAACUAACUGGAUGUGUGGCGGCUCUAAGACGCUUCAUAUCCCGUUUGGGAGAAAAGGCACUGCCCCUCUAUCGCCUC